rnacentral:tRNA from 1 species
GCAAUGGUGGUUCAGUGGUAGAAUUCUUGCUUUCUAGGUAGGAGACCUGGGUCUGAUUCUCAACUAAUGUA